GGUGAUGGUGUCUGAGGAAAGGCACCGUGUGCUCGCUGCCAACGCUGGCCUCCCAGCUUGGAGGCAGCGAGAAUACCUGCCACUGUCCGCUUUCCUUUGGUGGUCUGCUCACAACUAGUCCCGCCUGGAGAUGGCAGACGAUCUUGGAGACGAGUGGUGGGAGAACCAGCCUGCAGGAGCAGACGGCAGCCCAGAAGCACCAGAUGAUGAAGGAGGAGGAGACCCAGAAAUGAUGCAGCAAGAGACAGCUCCAGUUCCUGCCCUGUCAAAGAAAACCGAACAGCCGAAAGAAUGUUUCUUGAUACAACCAAAGGAAACAAAAGAAGAUGCCACCAAGACAAGGAGGAGAAAAAAGAAGAAAAUUACUGAUGUUCUUGCAAAAUCAGAGCCAAAACCAGGGACCCCUGAAGACCUACAGAAGUUGAUGAAGGACUAUUACAGCAGCAGUCGCUCAGUGAUUGAAUUAGAAGAACUAAACCUACCAGACUCCGGUUUCCUCAAGGCCAAUGAUUUGACUCAUAGUCUUUCAUCAUACCUAAAAGAAAUCUGCCCUAAGUGGGUAAAACUUCGGAAGAACCAUAAUGAGAAGAAAUCGGUCCUGAUGCUGAUGAUCUGUAGCUCUGCUAUCCGAGCCUUGGAGCUCAUUAGGUCAGUGACAGCAUUCAGAGGAGACAGCAAAGUUAUAAAAUUAUUUGCAAAACACAUAAAGGUCCAGGAGCAGGUAAAGUUGCCGGGGAAGCGUGUUGUGCACCUGGGUGUAGGAAGUGUAGGAACACCAGAGAGAAUUAAAGAACUCAUUAAACAAGGUGGCCUUAAUUUGAACCCCUUAAAGUUUCUGGUUUUUGACUGGAAUUGGAGAGAUCAGAAGUUGAGAAGGAUGAUGGACAUUCCCGAGAUAAGAAAGGAGGUUUUUGAAUUUCUGGAAAUGGGAAUCCUCAGUCUAUGCAAGUCUGAAUCUUUGAAGCUGGGUCUUUUCUAAGUCUGGGUCCUAAUGAAAAGUCCAGUUUUUAUGGUGGGAUUUGCAUCUCAUUUAAUAGCUCCGGAAUAUUGCAAGGACUCAGUAAAUAUCAGCUAUUGUUGUAUUACAUUAACUGCAUCACCAGAUGAAUCACUAGAAAUUUUUGGUGGAGAUUCUUUGACAAAAAUGAAGCUGUCCUUUGCCAACUUCUUUGUAUAAUAAAGUAUCACCAGCUUGUGUAUG